GUAUGGUCUAAGGUCUUUGGUGGCAUACGACAGAAACUCACACUGGCUACCUUAAGCAAAGCCAUUAGAGGGGCUGGCUAGAAUCAAGCUACACAGAAAGAACAGGAAUCACUCAGAGGGUACUCCCUGAGAGGCUGUCUCAUGCUCUUCAUCCUCCAAGCCUUCAUGCAAAAAGAGCAAGAAUCUGGCAAUCAUCAUAAAUUGCUUUCUCUGG
rnacentral:lncRNA from 1 species